UAACAAUUAACUUAGAAAAAAAAAAACAAAGUUAAACCCAUUCCUACCAAAACCCUAGCUCCCCUUCCCCUUCUACACAGGCCCUCCAGACGCGGCAAAAAUCUCCAGCGGCACCCCUCUAGCCGCAAAUCCGUACAACCACUGGAUUUCCGUUCGAUUUGCUAGACGACGGAAGCAUUCUCCUUCGAUUCCCCCUUUGAGACUGCAACCAUUGGUCUUUGUUCAUCAUUGCCCAACACAUAAGACAUGUAUGUAUUUUGGAUUCAACAAAGAUAAAAGGCGAAAAGAAUGCUUCUAACUAUCGUCUUUCAAGCCUAAUUCCUACCGCUUUAGGAUCCGAGUUCAACUACACAAUGGUUGAUAUAUUGUAAGCAACAAAAGGAUGGAUGGGAAUGCGGCUACAUGGUUCUCCAACAUAUGCUUGACUUUGUUAAUUUGUAUCAAAACCAAUUUCCCGAUGAAAUGUGGCACGACACGAGAGAAGCUACGGAUAAUGAUAUAGAUGUUUUGUUGAUGACGUUGAUGCCGAAGUUUUUUAGUGAGUUAGGUAUUUCAUGAGGUUAGCGUAUGUAGUUUAUUUAUACAAUUUAACAUAGUUUGUUAUAUAUUCACAAAUGAUUGUAAUUUGACGGGUUAAUUUCCGAAUUGGAUGUCUACGGGUUUAUUUUUUA